rnacentral:rRNA from 1 species
CCUACGGGUGGCAGCAGUGGGGAAUAUUGCACAAUGGGGGAAAGCCUGAUGCAGCAACGCCGCGUGAGGGAGGAAGGCCUUCGGUAUGUAAAGCUCUAUCAGCAGGGAAUAGAAAUGAAGGUACUUAACAUCGUAGCCUUGGCUAACUCCGCGCAAGCAGCCGCGGCUAUCUGGAGGGCGCGAGCGUUAUUCGGACUUAUUGGGUGAAAAGGGAGCGUAGGCGGAAAGGUAAGUCAGCGGUGAAAGCCCAUGGCUCAACGGUGGAACUGCUGUUGAAACUGGCGAACUGGAGUGCGUGAGAGGAUAGCGGAAUUCCUGGUGUAGGGGUGAAAUGCGUAGAUAUUAGGAGGAACACCAGUGGCGAAGGCGACUAACUGGAGCGAAACUGACGCUGAGGCUCGAAAGCGUGGGGAGCAAACAGGAUUAGAUACCCCGGUAGUC